rnacentral:rRNA from 1 species
UCAUUAUUUGACGUUACCUACAGAAGAAGCACCGGCUAACUCCGUGCCAGCAGCCGCGGUAAUACGGAGGGUGCGAGCGUUAAUCGGAAUUACUGGGCGUAAAGCGCAUGCAGGCGGCCUGUUAAGUCAGAUGUGAAAGACCCGGGGCGUUAACCUCGGAAUUGCAUUUGAAACUGGCAGGCUAGAGUCUUGUAGAGGGGGGUAGGAAUUUCAGGUUAGGUUAGCGGUGAAAUGCGUAGAGAUCUGAAGGAAUACCAGUGGCGAAGGCGGCCCCCUGGACAAAGACUGACGCUCAGAUGCGAAAGCGUGGGGAGCAAACAGGAUUAGAUACCCUGGUAG